rnacentral:rRNA from 1 species
GAUGAACGCUGGCGGCGUGCCUAAUACAUGCAAGUCGAGCGAAUGGAUUAAGAGCUUGCUCUUAUGAAGUUAGCGGCGGACGGGUGAGUAACACGUGGGUAACCUGCCCAUAAGACUGGGAUAACUCCGGGAAACCGGGGCUAAUACCGGAUAACAUUUUGAACCGCAGGGUUCGAAAUUGAAAGUCGGCUUCGGCUGUCACUUAUGGAUGGACCCGCGUCGCAUUAGCUAGUUGGUGAGGUAACGGCUCACCAAGGCAACGAUGCGUAGCCGACCUGAGAGGGUGAUCGGCCACACUGGGACUGAGACACGGCCCAGACUCCUACGGGAGGCAGCAGUAGGGAAUCUUCCGCAAUGGACGAAAGUCUGACGGAGCAACGCCGCGUGAGUGAUGAAGGCUUUCGGGUCGUAAAACUCUGUUGUUAGGGAAGAACAAGUGCUAGUUGAAUAAGCUGGCACCUUGACGGUACCUAACCAGAAAGCCACGGCUAACUACGUGCCAGCAGCCGCCGUAA